rnacentral:rRNA from 1 species
UAAGAACUGAUUCGGGCUCGGCCGAUCCUCCCACCCUUUGUGUACCUACCUCUGUUGCUUUGGCGGGCCGCGGUCCUCCGCGGCCGCCCCCCUCCCCGGGGGGGUGGCCAGCGCCCGCCAGAGGACCAUCAAACUCCAGUCAGUAAACGAUGCAGUCUGAAAAACAUUUAAUAAACUAAAACUUUCAACAACGGAUCUCUUGGUUCUGGCAUCGAUGAAGAACGCAGCGAAAUGCGAUAAGUAAUGUGAAUUGCAGAAUUCAGUGAAUCAUCGAAUCUUUGAACGCACAUUGCGCCCUUUGGUAUUCCGAAGGGCAUGCCUGUUCGAGCGUCAUUACAACCCUCAAGCUCUGCUUGGUAUUGGGCACCGUCCUUUGCGGGCGCGCCUCAAAGACCUCGGCGGUGGCGUCUUGCCUCAAGCGUAGUAGAACAUACAUCUCGCUUCGGAGCGCAGGGCGUCGCCCGCCGGACGAACCUUCUGAACUUUUCUCAAGGUUGACCUCGGAUCAGGUAGGGAUACCCGCUGAACUUAAGCAUAUCAAA